UUAGACCUCAGAUCAGGCAAGACUACCCGCUGGGCUUAA
rnacentral:rRNA from 1 species